rnacentral:rRNA from 1 species
ACGAACGCUGGCGGCGUGCCUAAUACCUGCAAGUUGAGCGCUGAAGGUUGGUACUUGUACCAACUGGAUGAGCAGCGAACGGGUGAGUAACGCGUGGGGAAUCUGCCUUUGAGCGGGGGACAACAUUUGGAAACGAAUGCUAAUACCGCAUAAAAACUUUAAACACAAGUUUUCAGUUUGAAAGAUGCAAUUGCAUCACUCAAAGAUGAUCCCGCGUUGUAUUAGCUAGUUGGUGAGGUAAAGGCUCACCAAGGCGAUGAUACAUAGCCGACCUGAGAGGGUGAUCGGCCACAGUGGGACUGAGACACGGCCCAAACUCCUACGGGAGGCAGCAGUAGGGAAUCUUCGGCAAUGGACGAAAGUCUGACCGAGCAACGCCGCGUGAGUGAAGAAGGUUUUCGGAUCGUAAAACUCUGUUGGUAGAGAAGAACGUUGGUGAGAGUGGAAAGCUCAUCAAGUGACGGUAACUACCCAGAAAGGGACGGCUAACUACGUG